AGUGAACGCUGGCGGUAGGCCUAACACAUGCAAGUCGAACGGCAGCACAGGAGAGCUUGCUCUCUGGGUGGCGAGUGGCGGACGGGUGAGGAAUACAUCGGAAUCUACUCUGUCGUGGGGGAUAACGUAGGGAAACUUACGCUAAUACCGCAUACGACCUACGGGUGAAAGCAGGGGACCUUCGGGCCCGGCUCGAUGGAAUGAGCCGAUGUCGGAUUAGCUAGUUGGCGGGGUAAAGGCCCACCAAGGCGACGAUCCGUAGCUGGUCUGAGAGGAUGAUCAUCCACACUGGAACUGAGACACGGUCCAGACUCCUACGGGAGGCAGCAGUGGGGAAUAUUGGACAAUGGGCGCAAGCCUGAUCCAGCCAUACCGCGUGGGUGAAGAAGGCCUUCGGGUUGUAAAGCCCUUUUGUUGGGAAAGAAAUCCAGCUGGCUAAUACCCGGUUGGGAUGACGGUACCCAAAGAAUAAGCACCGGCUAACUUUGUGCCAGCAGCCGCCGUAA
rnacentral:rRNA from 1 species